rnacentral:lncRNA from 1 species
AGAGGAACAGAAGCUCCCUUCCUUUGUCCCGUGUGCUCUGGAGAUUGCAUCCCACGCAGGCAGCCCCCUUCCGUACAAGAGAGGCUGGCGGUUACCUUUCUUGGGGAGACGCGUCCGACUGCUUCAUUGUGGGGGCCUCAGGAGCGGAGGAUCGGGUCCCGCCCGAGGUGACGCGUAAACCCAGACUCUCAGCAACGCGGGUAGGAAGGACCCUUGAAGUUCCGCGGCGACCACGUCGGCUGAAACCAGCAGCCCAGGACAAGUGGACCAGCCAGCAAGACCCAGACCAUCCAAACCGGCUGAUCCUACGACAGGACCCAGAUGCCAGUGAAAGUGACCACAGCCCUGCUCUAGUCACCCCGGAAGCUGACCAGUCUACGCACGGCCGAAGCUUCGUCAAGGAAGUAAAUGUAGUUAGAAAUCUUAAGCCCAGUAAUUUUCCUUGUCAUCUUAAUUGUUUUACUAUUAACCUGUCGCUUUGCUCAACCCCCUCCUCUGGGCAAACAUCUCUUGUCCAUCCUAGGUACAAACAUGCUACUCUUCCCUUUGUUCUUGCUGCUCUCGCUAGAUCUAUGUCAGAAGGAGGGAUAUGCGGAGAGUUUAAUUUAACUAAUUGUUGCCUAAAAAUCGAUGACAAUGAGGAGGACGUCAUGAAUUAAUUGCGAGAAUGCGAGACUUAGCUCAUGUUCCAACACAAACCUGGAAACCGGAAUGGUCUCCAGGUUCCCCCCGCCCCCCCGUGGUUGGUUUUCAUCCCUCGGGGGAUUUAAAACCUUACUAGGAGUAGUUCUGGCCAUACUGGGAGUCCGCCUCGUACUCUUGUCUCUUCCCCUCCUUGUCAAGAAUAUCGACAAAGCCAGAGACGCUCGUGUGGACAGGCCGAGUACCACCGAGCUCAUCCCAUAACUACGUGUCCACCCCUGCCAGGAAAAGAGCUACUUCCCCCUGUAGAAGUAAAUAAAAAAUAGUGAUGCUUUCUAUUAAACCUUAUUUAUAAAAAGCAUCAAGGAGGGAAUAAAGCGGAAAUUGAAGAAACGGAAAA